UACGGAGGGGGCUAGCGUUAUUCGGAAUUACUGGGCGUAAAGCGCACGUAGGCGGCUUUGUAAGUAAGAGGUGAAAGCCCGGAGCUCAACUCCGGAACUGCCUUUUAGACUGCAUCGCUUGAAUCCAGGAGAGGUGAGUGGAAUUCCGAGUGUAGAGGUGAAAUCGUAGAUAUUCGGAAGAACACCAGUGGCGAAGGGCGGCUCACUGGCCCGGUACUGACGCUGAGGUGCGAAAGCGUGGGGGAGCAA
rnacentral:rRNA from 1 species